GAGUUUGAUCGUGGCUCAGAUUGAACGCUGGCGGCAGGCCUAACACAUGCAAGUCGAGCGGAUGACGGGAGCUUGCUCCUUGAUUCAGCGGCGGACGGGUGAGUAAUGCCUAGGAAUCUGCCUGGUAGUGGGAGACAACGUUUCGAAAGGAACGCUAAUACCGCAUACGUCCUACGAGAGAAAGCAGGGGACCUUCGGGCCUUGCGCUAUCAGAUGAGCCUAGGUCGGAUUAGCUAGUUGGUGGGGUAAUGGCUCACCAAGGCGACGAUCCGUAACUGGUCUGAGAGGAUGAUCAGUCACACUGGAACUGAGACACGGUCCAGACUCCUACGGGAGGCAGCAGUGGGGAAUAUUGGACAAUGGGCGAAAGCCUGAUCCAGCCAUGCCGCGUGUGUGAAGAAGGUCUUCGGAUUGUAAAGCACUUUAAGUUGGGAGGAAGGGCAGUAAGUUAAUACCUUGCUGUUUUGACGUUACCGACAGAAUAAGCACCGGCUAAC
rnacentral:rRNA from 1 species